AGAUGAAGAGCUCGGGUAUCUGAGGGCUGGUGUGUCUGCAUGCGUGUGUGUUUUGGGGGCCGACUGAAGGAAGAGAAGGCUGGAGAGAGGGAACAUGGGUCUGAGGGCACAUCGCUAAGGGGUCAAGAGGCCUAAAGGGGGAGUCUAAGGCUCUCCAUCGAACUUGGACUUGGUCUACAUUAGACUUUAACCUCCAUGAGGCUUGGACUUUCAGGCUUCCUCCCUCACACCGCGGGCAGGUGAGGCGUCUGCUACAGGCCUGGUCUCGCAGAGGGGGCCCAGCGCCCCCCGCCGCCGCCUUCUCCUGGAGUCUGUGUGACAGAAUGGGACCUGUGGGAAAGCAGCACGUCAGCACCCAGCCCCGCUUGCGCGCCAGCAGCUAAUUAAAGCCAGGAAGGUGAUGGCGAUUUUCAACUCAUUCCCGUUACAAACAGCCGACCUUCCUACCGAGUUCAAGUACCUUCUGCCUGGCCUGGAAGAACAAUAUCUCUCUGUCUCCCUCUUCCACUGGCCCUCACCUGCCUUCCCCUGAACAUGCAUUUUGCCUGACAGGAGGCAGAGGCAGUUGGUGCUUGCAGCUUGGUCCAGGAGGCCAGCGGGACCAGACAGAAGACCACAGCGACACAUGGGGAUGGCUGUCCCACAGGCAGAAAUGAGCAGCCGGGAGGAAGCCCAUGCAGCCAGCCACCCAGCUCCCUCCACAUCGUGGCCCUAGAAUGGAGUCUUGAAGAAUA
rnacentral:lncRNA from 1 species